UUAUUAUAUCUUUAGAUCUAUAUGCAGCUGUAUUUGUCACUGUCAACAGAAGGGCGAGCAUUUUUCGGACGUGGGAUUCCGCUGGGGAAUGAAGACCGACAUGAGCUUCCAGACGGAAUGAGAGCUUUGAAAUCUUUGAAUAGAAGAAGGGUUCAUUAUACCAUGGAUACGACUGGUCUUGAAUGGUGAAUAGAUUCAAGGAACAGAUAACGAGACUCUCGAAAACCAAGCU